rnacentral:snRNA from 1 species
AGAUGGGAAGAGCCCAGGAGGUUGAUACUGCAGUGAGCCAAGGUAGCACUACUGCACUCCAGCCUGGGCCACAGAA